ACGGAAGACAUACUCAGUUGCAGU
rnacentral:siRNA from 1 species